rnacentral:lncRNA from 1 species
UGUUAUGGAAGAGAAGUGUAUGGAGAUUGAUGGGAAUGAGCAUAGAAAUGAUGGCAUGUCUUGCAGGAAGAGUGAACUCAUCAACAUUGAGCGGAGAGUAGCAGCUUUCUCGAUGGUUAUUUAGGUGCUGUCCAUUUUAUCCCGCGGUCAGUUAAUGCAUUAGAGAUGGAGGUGUCAUGUUGAUUGUACCCAUAACGUGCACUUUAUACCAGCUCUCUUAACUUUUAUCCGUUGCUUUUUAUGAUGACUUUACACAUACUGACUGAGUCUUUUCGUGAGCUUCAUGGUUCAAGUCUGUAUAUAUCCCACCAGAUUCUUCAAUCUGUUCUAGCUUCAUAACGCCCAGAUUAAGCACCUAUUUAUUGCUUUCAGAUAAAUCAAACUGCAAUGACCAGAUUUCUUCUUAUAAUAUCCAUUGAUCCGGCAACAUGAAAUGACGGUAAAGCUUUUCGAAGCAUUAAGAUUUUUCCAGAGAUGAAAUAAGGCUCUUCUGCUAUGGUUAUUCUUCCUUUAUUGCUGAUGGGUGGCUCCGUAUGGCAUAGUUAACAGCAAGCUCCAGUCCACGCUCCCAGUUGCUUUCAACGUGAGAAUAUAUCCCUGGCGAUUUCUUACUCUCUCAGGCAGAGGUGAGAAGGUUGAUAUGUGCCAUGGAUGUAAUUCCCAAAACAGGGGAAUGGCAGCAAAACAAGGCACAAACAGUAGAGAAUGGAAUGAGUUCAUUCAGGCCUCAUAUGAUGUAUCCAACAAUGAGCUCGGGUGCAAGAUCAGUCCAAGAAAGAUUUCAAAAUGAGUUUUAAAACAAAAGCAAAGGUGGGAAUCUCAUGAGAGAUCUCAAAACAGGGUAUAUAAAACCGGUUAGAAAUCAAACAUGAGGCAGAAGCAAGCAAACCUAAAUACAAGAAAAACAAACUGAAAAACCCAACAAACACAUUCGAACACCAAACUAGAGACUCAUGAAUAUCCAGAAGCAAGAUGAAAAAGAUAUUGAACAUAGACCAUACCUGAAAAACCUCCUUACAAGCGAGAACUUGCCUGACUUCAAACUCUGUUUUUAUCACCUCUCUGGAAGAUGUUCAGCUCAAAAACAUCUUUCAAAAGACCACCCUUCGAACCCUCCUCAUAACCGGCAAUGGAAACCUCACUCUCCUUAGCCUCUUGCCCAAGCUAGCCACCCUCUCCAAAAUCCUUCACAAUCGUCAAAUGGAGACCUCCCCAAGCCAGAGGAAUCCCCCUCACCCUCCUUCUCGGUCCGUUUUUCUUUUUUCCAAGAUCCCCCCUGGCACCCUCAAAAGGAUCCUCCUAAAAUCCUCUCCCCUUCAGUCAAAGCUUUUCCCGCAAGCUAUUAACUACUAUACUGUUCACCGCUCAGCAACCUGGAGCCCCAACCACCACCAUGGCUGUGGCCAACUGCUCCACCACGUGUUCCACACAGCUCAUCUCUCCAAGCAGCCAGGUCCCCCC